CACGUAGGGGGCAAGCGUUGUCCGGAUUUAUUGGGCGUAAAGAGCUCGUAGGCGGCUCAGUUAGUCGGGUGUGAAACCCCCGGGCUCAACUCCAGAACUGCCUUUGAUACUGGUGAGCUUGAGUCCGGAAGAGGUGAGUGGAGCUGCGAGUGUAGAGGUGAAAUUCGUAGAUAUUCGCAAGAACACCAGUGGCGAAGGCGGCUCACUGGUCCGGUACUGACGCUGAGGUGCGAAAGCGUGGGGAGCGAACAGG
rnacentral:rRNA from 1 species